UUGACCUCGGAUCAGGUAGGAAUACCCGCUGAACUUAAGCAUAUCAAUAAGCGGAGGAAAAGAAACCAACAGGGAUUGCCCUAGUAACGGCGAGUGAAGCGGCAACAGCUCAAAUUUGAAAUCUGGCUCUCGGGCCCGAGUUGUAAUUUGUAGAGGAUACUUUUGAUGCGGUGCCUUCCGAGUUCCCUGGAACGGGACGCCAUAGAGGGUGAGAGCCCCGUCUGGUUGGAUGCCAAAUCUCUGUAAAGUUCCUUCGACGAGUCGAGUAGUUUGGGAAUGCUGCUCUAAAUGGGAGGUAUAUGUCUUCUAAAGCUAAAUACCGGCCAGAGACCGAUAGCGCACAAGUAGAGUGAUCGAAAGAUGAAAAGCACUUUGAAAAGAGAGUUAAAAAGUACGUGAAAUUGUUGAAAGGGAAGCGUUUAUGACCAGACUUGGGCUUGGUUAAUCAUCUGGGGUUCUCCCCAGUGCACUUUUCCAGUCCAGGCCAGCAUCAGUUUUCCCCGGGGGAUAAAGACUUCGGGAAUGUGGCUCUCUUCGGGGAGUGUUAUAGCCCGUUGUGUAAUACCCUGGGGGGGACUGAGGUUCGCGC
rnacentral:rRNA from 2 species